UACGUAGGGGGCAAGCGUUAUCCGGAUUUACUGGGUGUAAAGGGAGCGUAGGCGGUGAUGCAAGUCAGAAGUGAAAGCCCGCAGCUCAACUGCGGGACUGCUUUUGAAACUGUAUGACUAGAUCGCAGGAGAGGUAAGUGGAAUUCCUAGUGUAGCGGUGAAAUGCGUAGAUAUUAGGAGGAACACCAGUGGCGAAGGCGGCUUACUGAACUGUAAAUGACGCUGAGGCUCGAAAGCGUGGGGAGCAAACAGG
rnacentral:rRNA from 1 species